rnacentral:rRNA from 1 species
UAUUUCCUACGGGAGGCAGCAGUGAGGAAUAUUGGUCAAUGGACGCAAGUCUGAACCAGCCAUGCCACGUGCAGGAUGACGGCUCUAUGAGUUGUAAACUGCUUUUGUACGAGGGUAAACCCCGAUACGUGUAUCGGGUUGAAAGUAUCGUACGAAUAAGGAUUGGCUAACUCCGUGCCAGCAGCCGCGGUAAUACGGAGGAUCCGAGCGUUAUCCGGAUUUAUUGGGUUUAAAGGGUGCGUAGGCGGAAUGCCAAGUCAGCGGUAAAAUCGCGGGGCUCAACCUCGCUCCGCCGUUGAAACUGG